AACAAGAAUUUAAUAAAAACUCUAAUUAAAGGAGAAAUAAAUAAUAAUGAUGAAAACUUUGGUUAAAGGAUCAUUCGUCACCACCAAACAUACACAUAAUAUAUUAAUUCUAUCAUCAAUUUAUAUUGAAACUAUCAACCGUAGACAACAAUAAGCUCUGUUAGUCUCAAUCUUUCCUUAGUGUGUCGUUAGGCAAAACAAGCUCUUCACCUGAUCUCUAACUAUUUAAGAUAAUGGAAGCAUUAAACAGAGAAAGAUAUUCGGUUGAUCUAAGUAAUAAACACACAAGCUCAGAUUAUUUAACCUACGUUAUGUUCUCCAAUUGAAAUCAUUGAUUCCAACCUGCUACUACUGAUUAAAAUAUCAAGACAAUUACGGAUCAAGAAUUUUAAUCUAGCAAUAGAAUUUAUUCAAGUCCUAUCUAAUUGGCCACUCAAAUCAAACAAGAAUAAACCAUGAACAUUAAUUAUAGAAGAACAUAAACAAUCUCAAUUAAAUAAAUUGAAUGAUAGAAAUUAAAAAUUAAUCAUGUGACAUGUUCGGGGUUUUGAAUUCACUCUCAACCAAAUAAAAAUCUAGCCUAACAUAAUUGAAUUAGGAAUAAGAGAAUUGACAAAAUCAAUCAUGGAGAUUAAUUCAAGUGGCUGCCUUUUUCUUCAAUUCCUUUUCGGUUUCUCCCUUGUUUUUCCUUCUUGCGGCUGCUGGUUCCUCAAAUCCUUUUGGCUGUAAAAAAAAAAAAAAAAUCCCCCUGUUUGCUUCCGCUCGAUCCUUUUUAUAAUGCUUCAAUUGUGGCUUUUUUAAAUCCUUACAUGGAAAGAAUUAAAUCCAAAGCCCAAAACCGCCACUUUCAUGCUUCAAUUAAUAAGCCAAUAAUGAUUUGGCCAUGAUUUCCUAAAGCCAAAAGGCUUUAUUCUCUUUCCUUUCACGUGCUGGCCACUUUUGGUUUGCAAUCUUUGUUUUCCAAUUUUGCUUUCAUGUGAUGGCUUCGCUUGUUAAUUGGCUUGGCUUCCUUUUUUACUUCCAUUUUUCAAUUUUAGCUCCAUGUGCAACAUUAAUUUUGCUUAGCCCAUACAAGCUUUAAUUAGAGAAUAUUCUUUAUUUUCUAAUUCCUUUAAAUUCUUGAUCUCUUGUGGACUUUUGUCUCUCAAUCUUUAAUCAAAUUUCUUUUCUGAAUGCUCCGAUUGAAUUUCUCUUUAAUUCUAGAAUAUACCUAAAAUAACAAAAUAAAUAAAACUAAGAUAAAAAUUAACACAAUAAAAUAUAAUUUACUAAAUUAAAAAUUAACUAAAAUAACUAGAAUAUUUAAGACCAAAAUAAGAAAAAGAUGGAGAAAUUAAUAGCAAAAUAUAUAGAAAAUAUGCACUUAUCAGAAGUCUUCAAGAGGGUCGACGACGUUGUCCAAAGCGUCGAUUGCUCUCUUUCUAUGAGCUUUGCAGAAGAGAAGAAGAGGAGCUUACAUAUGAUAUUUGUUCACGUCUCAUUUACUCAAUUGAUUUUAGUAAUCGUUUUUAUUAAUAUUUUAACCACUAAAAUACUCAAUAAUAUUGUUUUUCUUCUUCUUUCCUUUUUCUAAAGAUGAACAUACACAUGUUGUUUCGUUUAUAAAAUUCUAUAUAAAUUUAGAGUUUUAAUAAUGUAAAUGUAUAAAAUAUUGGUAAACAUGUAUAUUUUAUAGUAUAUUUUAUUUGUGUGUGGUUAGUUUCUGCCUACUGCUUUUGUGAAUUAACAAUCUUCAAAUCACCUCUUUUACUUUUGAAAAUAUCAAAUUACCCCUUAAAAGCAGUUAACUUUAAUGAUUGACUGUCGAUGACUUGUUAAAGUACGAGAAUUUUUUUUUUAUAUAACAAUUUUGUUAACUAACGAUUGCAACCCUAACAAAAUAUAAUUUGAAGUAAUAAAAUAAUAAAAUGAAAAUGACACAGUUUUAAAACUAAAAAAAUUUGCCUUGGCCGCUCAUGGCCAUGGAUUUAGUAUGUGUUUGGUUGUCAUGGCUGCACACGGUUAAGGCUUUGGGUGUCUUAACAGUGCGCGAUUAAGGGUUUGGUUGACACAACUGCACACGCCCAUAGGAUUGUUUGUGUCGGUUAAGAGUUUGGUUGCCUUGGCCGUGCGCAUCCAUGGGUUUAGCAUCCAUGACCGCACGCGACCGAGGGUUUCGUUGCCUUAGUUGCGAACAGCCAUGGAUUUGGUUGCCUUGGCUGCUUGCGGCCAUGGGUUUGGUUGCCUUGCCUGAGCGCUGUUAGUGAAUAUUAAGAAUAUAGAGGCAAAGAACAAAGAAAAUUUCUUAGGAUUUGAGACGUGUUUGCACACUUUCCUUUAAGGUUUUAUUUGCCCUCUCCAAUCUUGGUUUGCUAUAGAGUAUUAAUGGCAAAUUACCCCCAAGAUAUAUCAAAUCCUGAAUACAAUCUCUAGCAAAUAAGAUUGUAUUUCCAGAACAUAUAUAUGAAACCUACAAAAAAAUCUGAUAUCUCUUAUUGUAUUUUUUUCUUAUUAUGAAGAAGAUGUUUUUUAAUGAAGAAUACAACCAUUCGAAAUGGUAUUUCUUCAAAGACACUCUUUUUGGUUUGAUUUUGCAACGUUUGACACUUGAAAUUUUCAAGCUUGCUAACCGUUUUCUAGUUGACGCCUUUCUGGAAAUAAACGGUUAACCGUUUUCUCAAUAAACGGUGAGCCAUUUUAUUCCAGAAUGUCAAAUACGUUGCUCACUGUACAUAAACGGGUAACCGUUUUCUCCAUAACCGGUGAACCGUUUUCUCUAGAACAUAAAACAUGCUCUCUGGAGUAAAACGGUUAGCCGUUUUCUUAAUAAACGGCAAACCGUUUUCGUCCAGAAUAUCAAACCAAAAAAAACUUGAAAGAUGUUACAAUCUCUCUUACAAUCCCCACUAGAUUGUAAUAUUUUUCAGAUUUAUUAAUGAUAAACUUAUACAUACAAAAAGGUAUCUUUCGAUUUUAACCUUUAAUUAGUGAGUGUAUUUCAAAGCAUUUACAAGACAAUAGUGUGCUAAGCAUUAAACUUUGUCUCUUAAGUAAAUACCGGAGAUACAUCACAUAUAAGCUAUCCCAGAUUUCAAAGUUGUGUUCCAAUAGUUAGCACUAUUCCGGCCUUGUGCUCUAUCUUGGAUUCAUGAACAUUUACAAGAUUAAACCAUGACCUUGUUAGAAACGGCACCAUUUCUUAUGUUCACUUAGGUGAAGUUUCAAAUCAUGUCUUUAGCUACUAAAAGACUUGAACUUCAUUAAGAGUAAAUACUCAACCUCAACCUCGUAGCUAUUUGCACCGAAUAUCUCGAAUGGGAUUAUUUAUUACUCGGUGUCAAACCAGUCACAUAACAACAACUUGUUAUUACCCAUUUAACUAUGGAGUAGCGGUAUAACUACUACAUAGUUGGGUUACCGUCGUUGGUGACUUUAUUAUAUAAAGGUUUCAAUCCCAUUCCAUAAGAUGUAUCCUUAACUAAGUCUCUUGAAAGACCUUUUGUUAAAGGAUCUGCUAGGUUCUUAUUAGUCCUAACAUAAACAAUAUUAAUAACACCAUCUGCUAUUAAUUGUUUCACAUAUUCAUGUCUUAAGCUAAUAUGUCUAGACUUUCCAUUAUACACUUUAUUAUAAGCUCUAGACAAUGUAGCUUCACUGUUGCAGUACAAAGAAAUAGAUGGCAUCGGUUGUGGCCACAACAUUAUAUCAAACAACAAAUUUCUCAGCCAUUCUGCUUCUUUGCCUGCAGCUGCAAGUGCUAUAAACUCACUUUCCAUUAUUGAAUGAGUUAUGCACGUUUGUUUCUUUGAAGCCCAAGAAACCACUCCUCCAGCAAUUGUAAAAAUCCAACCAGAAGUGGAUUUAUUAUCUCUUGUAUUGGUUACCCAACUAGCAUCUGAAUAUUCUUCCAAUACUUCAGGAUAAUCAUUAUAAAACAAACCCAAAUUAAUGGUCCUUUUAAGAUAACCAAGUAUCCUACCAAUUGCUUUCCAGUGUUCAACACUAGGGUUACUCGUGAAUCUUGACAUUUUGCAAACUGCAAAUGCUAUAUCAGGCCUCGUACAAUGCAUAGCAUACAUCAAGCUACCAAUAGCACUAGCAUAUUCUAGUUGUGCUACUACUCGGCCUGAAUUUUCUAGUAAUUUAAUACUAGAAUCAUAUGGGGUAUUAGCUUCUUUAAAUUUCAAAUAACUGAAUUUAAGAAGCACUUUCUCUAUAUAAUGAGAUUGACACAACGAGUAACCCCCACUAUGUUUAUUCACUUUGACACCUAAGAUAGUAUCUACUUCACCAAGAUCUUUCAUCUUAAAUUGUGAAGUUAAAUACUUCUUUGUAUCAUCUACUCCUUGCAUAUUUGUUCCAAAGAUAAGCAAGUCAUCAACAUACAAGCAUAUAAUCACACCAAAGUCAUUCGUAAAUUUAAAAUAUAUACAUUUAUCAGCAUUAUUAUGCUUAAAGCCAUGAGAUAAAAUUACUGAAUCAAACUUCUCAUGCCAUUGUUUUGGUGCUUGCUUUAAACCAUAAAGAGAUUUGACUAACUUGCAUACCUUUUUCUCAUUUCCUAGCAAAACAAAUCCCUCAGGUUGUUCCAUAUAGAUUUCUUCAUCAAGAUCACCAUUAAGAAAAGUUGUUUUAACAUCCAUUUGAUGCACAUUUAGUUGAGAUCUUGGAGGAAGAUCAACCAAGACCCAUAUAGAANNNNNNNNNNNNNNNNNNNNNNNNNNNNNNNNNNNNNNNNNNNNNNNNNNNNNNNNNNNNNNNNNNNNNNNNNNNNNNNNNNNNNNNNNNNNNNNNNNNNCUUUCCCUCAGGUUGUUCCAUAUAGAUUUCUUCAUCAAGAUCACCAUUAAGAAAAGUUGUUUUAACAUCCAUUUGAUGCACAUUUAGUUGAGAUCUUGGAGGAAGAUCAACCAAGACCCAUGUUUGAUUCGACAUAAUCGAAUCCAUUUCAUCACUUACCGCCUCUCUCCAAAAAGAAGCGUCUCUAGAAGACAUAGCCUCGCUAAAUGUCUUUGGAUCUUUUUCAAUAUUUAACAACAAUGGUACUUUGUUAAGUACAUUCUUUCUAUCCCCUUCAACCAAGAAGAGUAGUGCUUGUGAUGAAAUAAAAUCCGGAGCUAAACUAUUUUCUUUCUUUUCACGUUGACUCCUCCUUAGUUCGAAAGAUGUCAUAGACUCUUUCCUUUUAUUAUUGUUAGUGGAGGUAACAUGAGUAUUAACACAUGGUUGAUCAAUAAUUGAUUCUGAUUCAAUAUUAGAAUCACGUUGAAAUUUAUUCUCAAUAAAUUCAACAUCUCUAGAUUCCACAAUCACAUUAGAAUCUAAAUCUAACAACCUAUAAGCCUUGGAAUUUUCAGCAUAUCCUACGAAAACACUUUUUAUACCUCUAGCACUCAACUUUGAUGACUUAGGGUCAUGUAUUUUAUAAAAAGCUAAACAACCCCAGACCCUUAAAUACAUCAAGUUUGGUUUUCUUCUUUUCCAAAUUUCAUAAGGAGAUAUAUGUGUUUUCAAAGAUGUAAUUCUGUUAUGAAUAUGACAUGCAGUGAGUAAUGCUUCCCCCCACAAAUUAUUUGGUAGUUUUGCAUUAAGGAUCAUGGAAUUUAUCAUAUCCGUGAAGAUCCUAUUCUUCCUUUCAGCCAAACCAUUUUGUUGAGGAGUAAAUGGAGCUGAUCUUUGGUGAAUAAUUCCAACUUCUUCACAAUAAUUAUUAAAUUCAAUUGAGAAAUAUUCACCACCUCUAUCACUACGAACCAUUUUGAUUUUCUUAUCUUUUUGGUUCUCAACUUCAGCUUUGAAAAUUUUAAAUUUAUCAAAAGCUUCACUUUUUGUUCUAAGUAAAUACACAUAAGUAUAUCUAGAACAAUCAUCAAUAAAAGUGAUAAAGUAUCUCUUACCUCCUCUUGUUAAAAUGCCAUUAUACUCACAAAUAUCAGUAUGUAUCAGAUCCAAUAUUUGAGUAUUUCGUUCAGCUUUAGGAAAAGGUUUCUUAGUUAUUUUAGCUUGGAUGCAGAUUUCACACUUAUGACCUUUAACAUCAUUGCAAUUAAUCAAACCAUGCUUAGACAUGUAUUUCAAAGAUCUAAAGUUCAAAUGUGCUAAUCUAGCAUGCCAAACAUCACAAGACUCAACAAUAUAAGCUAAGUUGAUAUUAUUAUUAUUAAUGCUGAGUUUGUACAUUCCAUCACAAGAAUACCCUUUCCCAACAAAUAAUCCAUUCUUUGACACAAUACAAGUAUUACCCUCAAGCACAAUCUUAAGCCCAUGCUUACACAUACAACUAGCAGAAAUAAGAUUCUUCCUAACGGAAGGUACAUGAAAGACAUUAUACAAUGUGACUUUCUUUCCAGAAGUGAAGUUGAUCUCAACUACUCAUUUCCCUGCUACUAUGGCUGCAUUAUUGUUCCCCAUGAGAACCAUUUGUCCUUCCGUUUCUUCUUUGUAUGAUAAGAAAAAUUUCUUAUCAUUACAAACAUGAAUUGUUGCACCCGAAUCGAGCCACCAAUCAUAGGACUUAGUUUCAGCCAUAUUGGUUUCAGUAAUCAUGCCAAUUUGCAUUUCAGAAACCAUAGCACAAAUCUCUUCAGAUUUGUUUUCAAUAACAUUAGCUUUAUGGGAAUUCACUUCUUCCUUUUUCUUCUUGAAUCUGCAAUCACUUUGGCGAUGGCCUUUCUUACCACAAAAGAAACAAUUUCCAGAAAACUUUUGUGUGCUGGACUUCUUGAAUUUCUUGUCAUUCUUGACUUUAAAAUUCUUUGAGAAUUUACUAGCUUCAACAACAUUAACUUUAGUAGAAUCAUGUUUAUCCUUGGAUUCACGAGACCUAGUCUCUUCUUCAAUUACCAAGUGUUUUUGCAAUUCUUCUAAAGUUAUGUUCUCUUUACUAUGAAGGAGUUUCUUUCUAUAAUCAUUCCAACUUUGAGGCAAUUUAGCAAUAAUAGCCCCAACUUGAAAUGAUUCAGAAAUUUCAACUUUUAACUCUCGAAGCUUAGCAACAAUUAUUUGUAACUCAUGUAUUUGAUCAAGAAUGGAUUUUGUGUCUACCAUAAUAAAUUCAAAAUAUUUAGAUACAAGGAAUUUGUCAGUACCUUCUUUCUCCGUUUUGUAUUUGUAUUCAAGAGCAUUCCAAAUUUCCACCGGAGAAGUCAUAGAAUUGUAGAGAUCAUAUAAUCUGUCAGAAAGCGUAUUGAGUAUGUGACCCCGGCAUAUCAAUUCAUCAUCUUCACGACGUUUCCUUGCAGCCUUAACAACUUCGGUAUCAUCUUCUCUUGGUUCUGGAAAUGGUUCCAAUUUCGGAUCAAGAACAUAUGCCACUUUAAGAACAGUAAGGAGAAAGAACAAUUUUCCCUUCCAACGAGUGAAAUUAGUUCCAUCAAAACGAUCGAGAUGGACACUAGGAUUUAGAAAUGAUGUCAAACUCUUCUCAACCUCCAUUUGCACAAGAUAAAACCUUAAAGAUUGUUAGUGAAUAUUAAGAAUAUGGAGGUAAAGAACAAAGAAAAUUUCUUAGGAUUUGAGACGUGUUUGCACACUUUCCUUUAAGGUUUUAUUUGCCCUCUCCAAUCUUGGUUUGCUAUAGAGUAUUAAUGGCAAAUUACCCCCAAGAUAUAUCAAAUCCUGAAUACAAUCUCUAGCAAAUAAGAUUGUAUUUCCAGAACAUAUAUAUGAAACCUACAAAAAAAUCUGAUAUCUCUUAUUGUAUUUCUUUCUUAUUAUGAAGAAGAUGUUUUUUAAUGAAGAAUACAACCAUUCGAAAUGGUAUUUCUUCAAAAACACUCUUUUUGGUUUGAUUUUGCAACGUUUGACACUUGAAAUUUUCAAGCUUGCUAACCGUUUUCUAGUUGACGCCUUUCUGGAAAUAAACGGUUAACCGUUUUCUCAAUAAACGGUGAGCCGUUUUAUUCCAGAAUGUCAAAUACGUUGCUCACUGUACAUAAACGGGUAACCGUUUUCUCCAUAACCGGUGAACCGUUUUCUCUAGAACAUAAAACAUGCUCUCUGGAGUAAAACGGUUAGCCGUUUUCUUAAUAAACGGCAAACUGUUUUCGUCCAGAAUAUCAAACCAAAAAAAACUUGAAAGAUGUUACAAUCUCUCUUACAAGCGCGGCCAUGGAUCUGGCUACCAUGGCCUCAUGCAGCCAAAAGUUUGGUUGCCUUGGAUGCACGUGGCUAUGUGUUUGAUAUGAUGGUAUCCAUGGGUGCAAAAUGAAAUUUUUUUUAAGUACUUGGAUGCACACUAUAAAUAUUUGAAAUGUUUAUUUGUUUCUUAGAAAACUUAGAAAGAUUUAGGCUCAUAAAAAUUAGCAUACAUAGAGGUUUAACCUUUUACUAUUAAUUGACUAUUCGAAGAAUGUACAAAUAUUAUUUUAUUAUUUUGGCCGUUAAAAAUAUUAUUUUAUUAUUUUCAAAAGUAAGGGAGGCAAUUUGAAAAUUCCCACUUCACGAGAGGGUAAGCCGAAAUUAACCCAUAUAUAUUAUUAGAAUUUCAAUAGUGUAACUGUGUAAUAUAUUGAUAGAUAUGGAGUGCAAAUGUUUGAUGUAAAUUUUAUUAAAUAUGUAUAUAUCAAUCAGAUUAUUGAAUAACUUGUUUAUUUUUCGUGUUGGGUUAAAACAUCAAUAUUUUAACAUAAUUAUUAAAUGAAUUGUGUUUGAGUCGAACUAAAUUUAAUAAGAUACGAGUUGACGCGGCACGAGCAAGACCUAGUGAUCCAUUUUGCCAACUUUAUUAACAAACAAAAAUUUUAUUUUUUGGGAAAAAGUCAAAGUAAAAGUUUCUAAUGUGGAAUAUUUGUCAUAGACAAUAAAACUAAACCAUCAUUUAUUAAUAACACUCCCAUUUAUGAGAAAUUCUAUAGUACAUUAGAGUUUCCACAUUAUAAUCUGACGUGAAGCCACCAACUAAUUAUUGGAGAAAAAUUAAUUUAAAAAAAAAACUUUCAGGAUCGAUCUCAUAUAAUACAUAAGAAUUCGUAAUCUAGAAAAUCAUACCUUAACAAUCUGAGAAGAUGAACAAUUGAAAAUAAUUCAGGCUCUCAGAUCACGAUCUGUCACCACCACUCCUGUUAGAUCACGAUCCGUCACCACCACGCCUAUUAGAUCACGAUCCAUCACCACCAUGCUUGUUAAAUCACGAUCUGUCACCAAUGAUCUUUCAGGUUAUGACUCAUGUUUGAUCUGCACUUGACGUGUGAGCGCCUUUAUCACCACUAAAAGCAACUAGC
rnacentral:lncRNA from 1 species